CCUACGGGAGGCAGCAGUGGGGAAUUUUGGACAAUGGGCGCAAGCCUGAUCCAGCCAUGCCGCGUGUGGGAAGAAGGCCUUCGGGUUGUAAACCACUUUUGUCAGGGAAGAAACGGCUUUUUCUAAUACAGAGAGCUAAUGACGGUACCUGAAGAAUAAGCACCGGCUAACUACGUGCCAGCAGCCGCGGUAAUACGUAGGGUGCAAGCGUUAAUCGGAAUUACUGGGCGUAAAGCGUGCGCGGGCGGCUUUGCAAGACAGAUGUGAAAUCCCCGGGCUCAACCUGGGAACUGCAUUUGUGACUGCAUGGCUAGAGUACGGUAGAGGGGGAUGGAAUUCCGCGUGUAGCAGUGAAAUGCGUAGAUAUGCGGAGGAACACCGAUGGCGAAGGCAAUCCCCUAGACCUGUACUGACGCUCAUGCACGAAAGCGUGGGGAGCAAACAGGAUUAGAUACCCUGGUAGUCCACGCCCUAAACGAUGUCAACUGGUUGUUGGACGGCUUGCUGUUCAGUACGAAGCUAACGCGUGGAGUUGACCGCCUGGGGAGUACGGCCGCAAGGUUGAACUUAAANGAAUUGACCGGNNGAGAGNGCGACGACGACGACGAGGGAGGAGG
rnacentral:rRNA from 1 species